CAAAAAAAAUGUUUGUCUUACAGGAGCACCACUCUUCACCCCACCGGAGGUCAUAAGGCACAGCAAAUACCACGCUGACCCAGCGUAUGUCUGGGCAAUAGGUGUUGUGCUGUUUGAAAUCUUGCACGGGUUUUUGCCAUUUGGAAACCAAGACGAAAUACUGCGUGACUAUGUUAAAGCAAAACCCACUUUAUCCUCAGGUAAACAUGACAGACACCUCUUUACAGACAAAACAGUUAUGUCAGACAGGAAGUCUAGCAAGUAACAAAUGUUUACCAACAUGACUGUAGACCAUUGUUAUUUAAUUGGGGAUAUUUAGAUCAUCUAAUACUGAAAUUUUAAUUGGUAAAACAUUUACUGUUCAGAAGCUUUUUCAUGUUAACAUUGAUGUUAAGACUAACCCGCACUCUCACUCUGAAAUCUUUACAGCAUGCCAUGACCUGAUUUUCCAGUGUUUGAUCCGCAAUCCAGCGAACAGACUGACGCUAGAGCAUCUAGAAGAGCACAGGUGGUUUAAGAGCUAGAUUGGCAGAAGACAGCGGAUCCCAUGCAUCAGUUAGAUGAGAAAAGGUAGUGAAACACUCUCAGUCCCUCUCAUCGGAAGAGUCAAACUUCUUUAUAGUUCAACUGUAAUUUGCACUGGCAUAUUGUAAGAGGUGAUACAGAGAUUCAUCACAUACCUUACGUAAUAUAGUGAUGAAAACAAAUGAACAAAAUCCAUAUACAGAGGCUUUCUGCUACAAAAGAGAGAUCCCUCUCCAUCUGUGCCUUGCGGACCAGAAGACAAACUUAAUGAACCCAUCAUUCAAUCUCCAAUCUCAACCUCUGUGGCAGAUCCAUCCAGUUCUGACCCGGGUGACGUUUUCAGUUCAGGAUGGGGGCCAGCACUGUUUCCAUGUUUGUUGCAGACUUGUGAAGCCCUCCAUCAUGUUCUAAAAAAGCACAAUCUGAAGGUACAUAUUUGUGUAAUUACAAAAUUGCUUUAUCUAAGUUUGAUUGAUGUGUCAUUGUUCUAAACCUUUAGUUUUCAGGCUGAUGCAUUUUGUUCUUAUUUCACUUUUUAUUUAAAGUGCGUGCAUGACAGUUUGCAGAUGCUAGAGAUUAUGGAGCACUUUUUAUGAUAAUGGACACACUUCAUUUUGCUUCAAAAUCUUCAACACCAUUCACACCAUUAUAAAUCUUGGAAGAGCCAGGACAUUUUUUUUUUUUACUAUAACUACGAUAGUAUUUAUCUGAAAGAAGAAAGUCAUAUACACCUAGGAUGACUUGAGAGUGAGUAAAUCAUGGUGCAAUUUUCAUUUUUAGGUGCACUAUCCCUUUAAUUCUACAGUGUAAGACUGUUCCCACAUGCACUGCACAGUUUAAGAAUAAAAUUAAAAUUUAAAAAAGUGAUCUUCUGUCA
ensembl:lncRNA